UGAAAGUUUUAUUUUGGCUUAGUGAUUUGCUUGAAAAUUUUUAUAAAUAUGAAUUUUUGUAGUAAAAUGCUCUUAAGGGGUUUUGAGGAUUGUAUUAUAUAAAUUUAAUUAUUAGAUUUUUCUAGAAUUAGAAAUUUUUCUUAGUAUAAACAAAAUUUGUGCCAGCAGUAGCGGUUAAACAGAUUGUGCAAGUUAAUUGAAAUUAGGGUUAGUUAGGAGUAGAGUAUUGAGGGAAUAAUAAAAAGUUUUUAAGGUGAAAUUUAAAGCUUUUUUGUGUCUAGAAUUUAUUGUUUCUGAAGCUGAGAAAUUUAUAAUUAGACUAGGAUUAGAUACCCUAUUAUUUUGAAUGUAAUUUUUUUCCUGGAUUAUUAAUAGUUAUGGUCUUUAAAAUUAAAAAAUUUGGCGGUAUUUUAGUCUGUUCAGAGGAACCUGUUUUUUAAUUGAUAGUCCACGAUAAUUUUUACUUUAACUUUAAAUUUGUAUAUCGUCGUUUAUAAAAAUUUUAGUAGAAUAGGAAUUUUUGGGUUGUGGGAUGUUUAAUUUAUUUCAGAUCAAGGUGUAGUUUAUGUUAAAGUUAAAAUGGGUUACAUUAAGUUUAUGGUUGGAAUUAAAGUUUAAAAUUUUAAUGAAAUUGGAUUUGAUAGUAAAUUCUUUGUUUUUGGGAAUUGAUUUAGCUCUAAAAUAUGUACAUAUCGCCCGUCGCUUUCAUUUUAAGGUGGAAUAAGUCGUAACAGAGUAGGCUUAUUGGAAAAUGGGCCUGGAAUGCA
rnacentral:ncRNA from 1 species